CAGAACAGACCAGCUUUUAUGCUUCAACGUCACUCAAAUCACAGUGCCGUUGGAAAAUAACAGCUUUUAUCCUCCAACGUCACUCAAAUGACAGUGCCCUUGAUUUCUGCUUUUUAGUUGAUUUCUGCUAUUUUUAUAAAAGUACCGUUGAUUACUGCUUUUUUAAUAAAACUACCGUUGAUUUGAUUAAUAUAUAUACAGGUGCCAUUUGAUCAUUUAAUUUGUAUUUUCUGGUUUUCCUUUUUUCCUGUGAUUUUGAGUCUUCUUUUUCUUGUUUCCUUUGGCAUGGCCAUGCCUUUUGUUCUUCAUUUUUCCUUGUGUUUGUGACUACUUCUUCUGUUCUUGUGUUCUGUAUUUGAUAUCUGCAUUUUAUUUGUAUGUUGUAUUUUAUUUGAGGUUGAGGAGGGUUUGGCGAGCAGGAGAAGGGCGAGAGAGGAUUCAGCUAUUUGCAACAUGAUGCAGGCCAAAAUUCCAACUAAAAUUAUUCUAGAUGCAUUCAAGGAGUUAGAAGCAGCCAAUAGUGAAACAGUAGAAAGAGCCUGAUUACCAUUCAAGAUUCUCAAAGGUUUAAAGAAAGUUUUCUAUUGCAACGGUACUGUAGUCAGUAGUGUAGGAUCAAGAGCUGUGGUGGGUAUAUCAUGGAUUAGCAUUCUGAAAUCUUAGUUCGUUAUCUUUAUUUGAAUGACUUAUCCAGGAGUCUUUUGAUUA